rnacentral:lncRNA from 1 species
CAAAGAGCUUCUUUCUGGCUGUAAUUUUAGAGAUCAGGGAAAACAAGCUUGGGGAACGUCCAGGGGCUUUACCUUCCAGGGAGAAACGCUCUAAGUCGGGGCCUCACAAGGGGUGUUUUAGAAAGCAAGUGGCCAGUCCUCCUCAAACACAUCAAGGUCACAAUAGACAGACAGUAGGGACCAGAAAGGUGGAAGCUAAGAAGACCCACCCUUCCCAAGGUCUUGGACCAGACUUUGAACCCGGAACUGGAUGGUGAAGCUUGAGUCAUUAAAAAAAAGUGGAGUCUGAGAUAAAGGGUCUGUCCUUUCCCCUGCGACGUUUAACAUGCACUGCAAUUUCUGAUUAAGAGGCAGUGUGAGCCAGAAGCAAAAAGCUUACCAGGCAGCAAUCAUGUCCUGGUCACCUCUGCAUUGUCCUGAAGGCUGAGCAACACCCAAGUCACAAAACCUCUUCACCGAUUGUCAUGACGACUGUUUAAAUCCAGUCUUCACACCUGACCACGAGUCUCUGCCUUUCUGAAGAUCGCGGACUUGUUUCACCCGACUCCUCCCAGCCACGUGGGGAGGGCAUGCGCCGUUCACGGAACCUUGGUUUCUCUGAUCUCGUUUUCUUUUUCCAUGUAACAUCCAUCACAAGAUGCAAAGAGGCCUCUGCGAUGGAAACCAAGAACUCUGUGCAGCACCUUCGGCUCUUGCAGAGGAAAUGUGAAUUCCUUACCUUAUGGAAAAAAGUAUUGCCCUUGUUUGGGUGAAGAACUGAUUAUAGCGGGAGAUGGAGCAGGGGACAUAUCAAGAGUGUAUGACAGCAUAUGACAGAAGACACAGCGUGUUCCUAGGAGGAGGCCCUGGAGGGCCUGUAGUCUGUGUGGGAGACUGAGAUAGACCCUAGGAAGACCUUCUGGGAGAGGGAGGAUGAAGCAAAAACGCAGAAAGCUUAACUGCGGUUGAAAAGCAUAAAAAUAACACGUCCUCCUCUCAUUUUAAAUGUUCCAAUGAAUUUCUCUUUGAGCUUUCAUGUAUAGGUGGAAGUGAAUUAACUUUCUAACUCUUGGUGUGGAUUGAUUUAAACUUGAUUUCCAGAGUGGACUUAGGGUUAAGGAAAGGCUGGACGAGGGACCGGAGAGACGGCUCAGCCCUUACAAACGCUUGCUGUAGAGGACAGGGUUCACCGACCAGCACACACAUCAGGUAGGUCACAGUCAUGGGUAACUCCAGUUCCAGAUAUCCCAUGUCCUCUUGGCCUCUGAGGACACCAGGGCACACUGGUGCACAUAGAGACAGGAAGGCACUCACAUAACACAUUUAUAGAAUCUACUUUUUCUGUUUCUUCGUGGUUUUGGUUUUGGCUGUUGUUUUGAGCCGGUCUCACACUAAAUCGCAUGCAUAGACAGUCUAGAACUUUAUAUGUAGUUCUGACUGGCCUCAAACUCAUAGUGAUCCUCCUGCCUCAGCCUCUUGGGUGCCAUCGUGUCCAGCUCAAAGUCCAGUUUUGAAAGGUUUAUUAAAAAACAACAGGCAUUCCUCCCAUAGAAGAUUUGAAAUGGAGCAGGCAUGGUAAGCCCCCGGGGGGGG